rnacentral:ncRNA from 2 species
GUCAGAGUAGGUGAUAUGCGUUAAGUGUUAGAGAAUGGGACGUUGUCUCUAAACGAAAGGCUUAAAGAUUUAUCAAGAUAUUUUUAAGCUUGCGGUAUAUCAUCGCGUUCGCUGCU